rnacentral:rRNA from 1 species
CCUACGGGAGGCAGCAGUGGGGAAUAUUGGACAAUGGGCGAAAGCCUGAUCCAGCCAUGCCGCGUGUGUGAAGAAGGCCUUCGGGUUGUAAAGCACUUUCAGUGGGGAAGAAAGCCUUGGGGCUAAUACCCUCGAGGAAGGACAUCACCCACAGAAGAAGCACCGGCUAACUCCGUGCCAGCAGCCGCGGUAAUACGGAGGGUGCGAGCGUUAAUCGGAAUUACUGGGCGUAAAGCGCGCGUAGGCGGUCUGAUAAGCCGGUUGUGAAAGCCCCGGGCUCAACCUGGGAACGGCAUCCGGAACUGUCAGGCUAGAGUGCAGGAGAGGAAGGUAGAAUUCCCGGUGUAGCGGUGAAAUGCAUAGAGAUCGGGAGGAAUACCAGUGGCGAAGGCGGCCUUCUGGACUGACACUGACGCUGAGGUGCGAAAGCGUGGGUAGCAAACAGGAUUAGAUACCCUUGUCGUC